CUACUAGUGAGUUGUUCUGUUUCCCAUAGAAGCUGCAUCUUUCUAGAAGCUGCUACAUCAGAUUAACCUGGGAAUGAAUCUCAUAACUUCUAUUCUGAUGAGCACUAUCUGCCAACCUUAUUUAAUAUGGUUGAUCCAACCGGAGUCGCGAAUUGGUCAGUGACACGUGUUGAUUGCUCUGAAGGAAAAUGACAUCCUAAAGUUUAUAGGGCUGUUGACACAAGCUUUGAACUGCUUAAAAGUAUAGCGGUGAGCUGAGCAUGCGUUGGAUGUAAAUUAUUAUUGCAUGUCUAAGCAUGCGUUGGAUGUA